rnacentral:rRNA from 1 species
CUUUCUAAGAGAAUUAAGCUGUUAUCCCUAAAGUAACUUAUUUCUAUUUUAGAAAUUCUAGGUAUAAAAACAUGCCUGUUUCUUUAAUUAAGGAAAGCCUUUUUCCUCACCGCCCCAGUGAAAUAUUUUCUCUUUCAUCUAAGAAAUAAAAAUAUAAAGUUUUAUAGGGUCUUCUUGUCUAAAAGUUUUAUUUUAGCCUUUUUACUAAAAGGUAAAAUUCAUUUCUUCAGCUUAAAAAAGAUUCUCUCAGUUUACUCUUUCAUACCAGUCUCAAAUUAAAAGACUAA